rnacentral:RNase_P_RNA from 2 species
GGGCGUCGCCGGGUGAUCGCUGCAUAGCAGUAUGCAGAGGAAAGUCCGGACACCUACGGACACCGUGCUUCCUAACGGGAAGGGUCCUUCAGUAAGGAUACAGCCAGUGCAACAGAAAGUAUACCGCCCGGACUUCGGUCCGGGUAAGGGUGAAAUGGUGAGGUAAGAGCUCACCGUCCCGGAUGGUGACAUUCGGGUGCAGGGUAAACCUCACGGGGUGCAAGAUCAAGCAGGCAGUAUGUGCAGUCCGUCGCAACGCUGCCGGGUAGAUCGCACGACCGUACCGGUGACGGUGCGGCCAGAUAAAUGAUCACCAUCCGGAUGCGAAUCCGGAUACAGAAUCCGGCUUACAGGCGGCGCCCGCCU